rnacentral:rRNA from 1 species
GAUGAACGCUAGCGGCAGGCCUAACACAUGCAAGUCGAGGGGUAGAGGAAGCUUGCUUCCUUGAGACCGGCGCACGGGUGCGUAACGCGUAUGCAAUCUACCUUUUACAGAGGGAUAGCCCAGAGAAAUUUGGAUUAAUACCUCAUAGUAUUUUCGAAUGGCAUCAUUUGAUUAUUAAAGUUCCAACGGUAAAAGAUGAGCAUGCGUCCUAUUAGCUAGAUGGUAAGGUAACGGCUUACCAUGGCAACGAUAGGUAGGGGUCCUGAGAGGGAGAUCCCCCACACUGGUACUGAGACACGGACCAGACUCCUACGGGAGGCAGCAGUGAGGAAUAUUGGACAAUGGGCGCAAGCCUGAUCCAGCCAUGCCGCGUGCAGGAAGACGGUCCUAUGGAUUGUAAACUGCUUUUGUACGGGAAGAAACACUCCUACGUGUAGGAGCUUGACGGUACCGUAAGAAUAAGGAUCGGCUAACUCCGUGCCAGCCGCCGCCGUAAGAC